rnacentral:tRNA from 1 species
GGGGACACAGCUCAGUUGGUAGAUCAUUUGCCUAGCAUGCACAAGGUCCUGGGUUCAAUCCUCAGCACCA